AGAAAAUUAGGAAAAUUCUCUGAAUCUUAUGUGCUUGUAGAUCUUGCAUGUAUGUGUUCAAAUUACAUAAAUGUAGUCAAUUACGUAUUUUCAGAGAAAAACAAAAUGCAUUCCGGUUUGAAAGUUGGAAGUCCAGGCACCUUGGCUCAUGCCUGUAAUCCUAGCACUUUGGGUGGCUGAGGUGGGAGGGUCACUUGAAGCUAGGAGUUUGAGGUUUGAAGAUGGGUCUCAAGUGCUAAGUUACUUUCUAGAGUUUAUGUUAUUUUAUCCUCUUGGUUGGCUGAUACUUUUUUGGGGGGUAAAGUGUGUAAGAAUUUGGGGAGCGGGAAGACUAGGGAUAGAGGGCACUGAAUCAUAGAUGUGAUAUGGGUUUGCUGCUUCAGUGGUUGAAGAAUUCUAUUAUCAUACAUGGCAGACUCUACAUGUUCAAAUAAUAGUAUUUCAUUUUUCAUUCCUAGUGACUAGAUUAACUAUUGAAAAUAUAUUUUCUCUCUCCAGAACCCAAAAAGAGAAGAAAUUUUCACCAGCUAAAUUUAUUAACUUGUAAUGCUAAAGCAGAUGGUAUGAUAGGAAAAUAUUGAUUUUUCUAUACUGACAGAGCAGCUGAUAACUUAUUUUUGGUUUGACUUAAUGUAUAAACUGUGAGUUAGGUCAAGGGAUUUUUAUGCAAUUUUGUACUUGCUUAUCCUGGAGUUUACAAAUCCAAAUAUUGACUUUAAGAAACCUGAAUUAACCCAUUGGGGUUUUAUAAGAUGGCCCCAGGUUUUCCUUAAAAUUUUGGUUCCCUUGUAUAUGUAGUUUUCAUAGAGUUUCUAUCAUGUAGCCAUAUAAAGGAAAUGAUCCAGUGUUGGACUGUGCCACUGUGGUGUCCACACUUAUGACCCUUUUUUGUGGUCCCUGUGUUCCUUUGCUUUUUUCUCUGAUUUUGCUGGGGAUAUAUUUUUAACUGUUUGUUUUGUCCAGUAUUAAGGAUUAUAGGCGUGAGCCAUCACAGCC
rnacentral:lncRNA from 1 species